ACCGGCGCACGGGUGAGUAACGCGUAUCCAACCUGCCCAUCACUUGGGAAUAACCUUGCGAAAGUAAGACUAAUGCCCAAUGGUGAUGGAUGGGGAUGCGUCUGAUUAGCUUGUUGGCGGGGUAACGGCCCACCAAGGCAACGAUCAGUAGGGGUUCUGAGAGGAAGGUCCCCCACAUUGGAACUGAGACACGGUCCAAACUCCUACGGGAGGCAGCAGUGAGGAAUAUUGGUCAAUGGGCGAGAGCCUGAACCAGCCAAGUAGCGUGCAGGAAGACGGCCUAUGGGUUGUAAACUGCUUUUAUAAGGGAAUAUGUACCUUAUGAAUAAGGACCGGCUAAUUCCGUGCCAGCAGCCGCGGUAAUACGGAAGGUCCGGGCGUUAUCCGGAUUUAUUGGGUUUAAAGGGAGCGUAGGCCGGAGAUUAAGCGUGUUGUGAAAUGUAGUGGCUCAACCUCUGCACUGCAGCGCGAACUGGUCUUCUUGAGUACGCACAACGUGGGCGGAAUUCGUGGUGUAGCGGUGAAAUGCUUAGAUAUCACGAAGAACUCCGAUUGCGAAGGCAGCUCACGGGAGCGCAACUGACGCUGAAGCUCGAAA
rnacentral:rRNA from 1 species